GAUGAACGCUGGCGGCGUGCCUAAUACAUGCAAGUAGAACGCUGAAGGAGGAGCUUGCUCUCCUGGAUGAGUUGCGAACGGGUGAGUAACGCGUAGGUAACCUGCCUGGUAGCGGGGGAUAACUAUUGGAAACGCUAGCUAAUACCGCAUGACAACAGUUAUUGCAUGAUAACUGUUUAAAAGGGGCAACUGCUCCACUACCAGAUGGACCUGCGUUGUAUUAGCUAGUUGGUGAGGUAACGGCUCACCAAGGCGACGAUACAUAGCCGACGUGAGAGGAGGAUCGGCGCCCCUGGGACUGAGACAAGACGCAGAAUACUACGGGGGGCAGCAGUAGGGAAGCUUCGGCAAUGGACGGAAGUCGGACCAAGCAGCGCCGCGGGAGUGAAGAAGGUUGUCGGAUCGUAAAGCUAUGUUGUAAGAGAAGAACGAGAGUGGGAGUGGAAAGUACACACUGUGACGGUAGCUUAACAGAAAGAGACGGCUAACUACGUG
rnacentral:rRNA from 1 species